rnacentral:rRNA from 1 species
ACAUGCUUACAACAUAACAAUAAUGCACCAGAUCCCAUUAGAACUUUGCAGUUAAGCGUGCUUGGGAUAGAGUAGUACUAGGAUGGGUGACCACCUGGGAAGUCCUAGUAUUUUACAUGCC